AGAGUUUGAUCCUGGCUCAGGAUGAACGCUGGCGGCGUGCUUAACACAUGCAAGUCGAACGAACCUUCGGGUUAGUGGCGGACGGGUGAGUAACGCGUGAGAAUCUGCCCUCAGGAGGGGGAUAACGGCUGGAAACGGCCGCUAAUACCCCAUAUGCCGAGAGGUGAAAUGAAUUUCGCCUGAGGAUGAGCUCGCGUCUGAUUAGCUAGUUGGUGGGGUAAGAACCUACCAAGGCUUCGAUCAGUAGCUGGUCUGAGAGGAUGAUCAGCCACACUGGGACUGAGACACGGCCCAGACUCCUACGGGAGGCAGCAGUGGGGAAUUUUCCGCAAUGGGCGAAAGCCUGACGGAGCAACGCCGCGUGAGGGAUGAAGGCCUCUGGGCUGUAAACCUCUUUUAUCAAGGAAGAAGAUCUGACGGUACUUGAUGAAUAAGCCACGGCUAAUUCCGUGCCAGCAGCCGCGGUAAUACGGGAGUGGCAAGCGUUAUCCGGAAUUAUUGGGCGUAAAGCGUCCGCAGGCGGCCUCGUAAGUCUGUCGUUAAAGCGUGGAGCUCAACUCCAUUUCGGCGAUGGAAACUGUGAGGCUUGAGUGUGGUAGGGGCAGAGGGAAUUCCCGGUGUAGCGGUGAAAUGCGUAGAUAUCGGGAAGAACACCAGUGGCGAAGGCGCUCUGCUGGGCCAUAACUGACGCUCAUGGACGAAAGCCAGGGGAGCGAAAGGGAUUAGAUACCCCUGUAGUCCUGGCCGUAAACGAUGAACACUGGGUGUCGGGGGAAUCGACCCCCUCGGUGUCGUAGCCAACGCGUUAAGUGUUCCGCCUGGGGAGUACGCACGCAAGUGUGAAACUCAAAGGAAUUGACGG
rnacentral:rRNA from 1 species